GUGUCAGCAGCCGCGGUAAUACGAACCGUCCAAACGUUAUUCGGAAUCACUGGGCUUAAAGGGUGCGUAGGCGGCUCAGAAAGUAGGGUGUGAAAUCCCUCGGCUCAACCGAGGAAUUGCGCCCUAAACUACUGGACUCGAGGAAGACAGAGGUAAGCGGAACUUACGGUGGAGCGGUGAAAUGCGUUGAUAUCGUAAGGAACACCAGGAGCGAAAGCGGCUUACUGGGUCUUUUCUGACGCUGAGGCACGAAAGCUAGGGGAGCGAACGGGAUUAGAUACCCUUGUAGUCC
rnacentral:rRNA from 1 species